UACGGAGGGGGCUAGCGUUGUUCGGAAUUACUGGGCGUAAAGCGCACGUAGGCGGUUUUUUAAGUCAGAUGUGAAAGCCCCGGGCUCAACCUGGGAAUUGCAUUUGAAACUGGGAAACUAGAGUGUGUGAGAGGGGGGUAGAAUUCCAAGUGUAGCGGUGAAAUGCGUAGAGAUUUGGAGGAAUACCAGUGGCGAAGGCGGCCCCCUGGCACAACACUGACGCUCAGGUGCGAAAGCGUGGGGAGCAAACAGG
rnacentral:rRNA from 1 species